rnacentral:lncRNA from 1 species
GUGAGCGGCGGACACGGACGCACGGUGAGCGUGGUGCGCGGCAGACGGGGAGAUCAGACCCGUGCCGUGCCAGCUGCCCUCGCUCGACGUGCCGCUCUCCCUGGUCGCCACUAAAUUGAACAAAAUCGAGAUUUAGAGUUCAGACCACCCAAUCGAGGACAGACGGAGAGGGUACUCAUCCAAAUCAAUGAAAAAUUGAGCAGCAUGCACCUGCGCCGGAGCGCCUGCAGCAACGAGGUGCUCGGGUCGGAGGGGCUCGCCGUGCUGGGGCUCCAGCUCGGGGCUGCUGUGCUGGAGGCGUCGUUCCUGUAGGUCCCUGGUCGUGGUCAUCUCUGGCGCCGAGAGGAUGGCCCAGGCUACUGCAGGUGCUCUGGAUGCCAUGCGGCGGCGAGCACAUCUCACGUGCCCGUGCCAGUUUUU